AAACAAUGGCUCCAAAUUUGAUGUUUCUUCUCAUGAAAUGCUGCAAAUCAAUAAUUCCAAAACUUUAAAAUAUAUUGCUUUCUCAUCUUCACAACUCAGAGAGGCGCUUGCCACUCAUGAAAUCAACCACCUGGGUAACAGCCUGGUCCAGUGCUGCAGUGACCGCCACCAAGUUCUGCAAGAAUUCUUCUGCAGUGGGCUUCUCGCCAUCAACGAUGUCUGUCACUGCUUUCACCGAGAUCAACGGGACUGAGAGUAAUUCGGCCACAUAUGCCACUGCUGCUCCCUCCAUAUCUUUGAUCGUAGCAUCAUUUGCGCCAAUGGCUGCUUCAUCAUGGGGAGACAUGUCCAGAGAAUCACCCGUAGACAAUUUGCCCACCUUAAAGUUGAGUUCCUUUUGGAUGUUUGGAGUAGGUAAGGUCUGACGGGCACCAAUUCCAUACAGAUCAAAAACCGGUAUUGGUAUCCUUCUGUCAUGGAAAGCAACGUCAGAAGUCAGAUAGACGUCCCCAAUGCAUGCACCUUUUGCUCGAAAUCCACCCGCUGUGCCUGCAUUGAUGAUAAGAUCGGGCUUCAAUGAUUGAAUAGAAGCAUAUGUCACAAGAGACGCUGAGAUAGUUCCAACACUGUCAACCCCGUGGAUUGAAUCUUUCCCAGGCCAAACAAUAUUAAUGUUCAAGCCUUUGUAUGUACCAUGAUAUCUGACCCACGGAACCCCUUUCGGAAACUGUGAUCCAUCGGUGUCCUCGGUGAGG
rnacentral:misc_RNA from 1 species